CCUUUUGUCUACACUUCUUUGCUUGAAAUGACUUGGUCUGGUACAAGGCCUCUGGCUUUUGCUACUCUGUAAUACUGGAAUCUCUCUUGGACUCUUCUUGGAUGUCCUGUUGUUGGCCUGUGUCAUGGAGGUCCUGCAGUUUUGGAUCUGAAGGACCAGCGCCUUCAUGCACUCCAGCAUUCCAUCAAUGGAUUGGAUGUUGGGGUGGGUCAGUUCAAAGCCCUGGACCUGUGCCUAUCUGAGCUGGUAAGCCAGUCCAAGACUCUCCUACUGGCAUGCCCUCAGGCAGGCUCACCAGCAACCCCCUGCAGUCAGGGCCAGCUCUAUCCUGUUGUCCAGGCGUGGUGCAGGGCCUGCUUUCCCUUUGCAACUGGUGAGGGAUAGGGCCACUUCUCUCACUCUCAAGACCCCAGGCCAGCUCUCCUGCCUGCCACAGAUGGGGAGGGAUGAAGUAGGGAGGAGCUUGUCGCUUCCUUGACCACUGUGUGGCUUCUUAGCAUAUGUGUGUGUCUCUCCACAGGAAAGCAAGUCUAUCAACAGUGUUGGAGAUUUUCGGAUUGUAAUGCCAAGUUCAUUUUGAGCCGACUAGAAAUCGCAAACGUACAAUACAGAUGCUGCCAGGCGGACUUGUGUAACAAAAGCUUCGAAGACAAGCCAAACAAUGGGGCAAUCGCCUUUAUUAUUUUCCAACUUAUAUUCGUUUAGGAAACAAUAUAGUUCACUUGAAAUCUUGGAUAAGAGGGAGGGUUGUAAGCAGCACGGAAGAGCACCGAAGAGCACCGUGCACAUAGGGAAGGCCCACCUGCAGGUACAGAGUGAAGUGCGUGGGUAAAACACUAACAGGUUAUGUAAUCUUCCUUUGUCACUUCGGAGGGCUGGCUUUCAGUUUCAGCUUAAGUGGGUUUCCGGCAACCCUCAGGGAUAUCUCUUUGGUUCCCGGAAUGUAGCUGAGGAGUGAGGUCAGAAAGUACCUUUAAGUGAGUGGACCAGGAGGAUUCUCUUCAUUACUCUGACACACUCAAAACGCUUUCAUAACUUUUACAGGUCCUGAGCUGGUGUGCAAAUGUUCCAUAUGUGAGCUGUCAGUCAGGGGCGCUGAUUGUUCAUUUGCUUUAAAACAACAAAAACAAAAACAACAACAAAACAGUUCUGGGAAUGAAACCCAGUGCAUUGAGCAUGUAGGCAAGUGCUUUACCCAUAAGCCCCAGCUCCAGCUCCAGCAGCGAAUGAAGCAGCUGCAUUUUCAGCUAGAAAACAUAGGGAUUUGACCUACAUUUCAACAAGACCUCUGAACCAGAUGUGAUGAUGCUUGCUUAGUAUGUUUAGCAUCUCAGUGCUCUGGAGGCAGAGACAGGAGGAGGGCCAUAAGUUGAAGGCCAGCCUGACCUUCACAGUGGUCUCCAAGUCACCUAAAACUAUAUAGUAAGACCUUGCCUCAAAUGAAAAACAAAAUGGCGAGUGGUGGUGCAUGCCUUUAAUACCAGCACUUGGGAGUAGAAGCAGGUGCAUCUCCGUGAGGUCAAAGCCAGCCAGUUCCCGGACAGCCAAGGCUAUACAGAGAAAGCCUGUCUAUACAUACAUACAUACAUACAUACAUACAUACAUACAUACAUACAUAGAAAAGAAAAACCUCAAAACAACAAUAACAACAAAACAAAAAAGAAAGGAAACACACAAAACGUCUGUUCUUGUAGAAGUGUGGACGGGCGGCUCCAACCUGAAUUAUCCCACAUCUCUGAAUAUUGCCUGGGCUUUGCUAGCUUUUACUAGAAAACUGUAAUGGCCAACAUUUUUUCGAUCUUGAAAAAGCAGUUUAUCUUGACUGUCUUCCACAUAAUGGAAUAAUAAACACUAUGCUAUAGGACAGAUGUUUAAGUGUGCUUAUUUUAAAUGUCACAGAAGAGGAAGACCCUUCAGGUGUGCAUGAGCAUAGGAAGAACUAGUGAGACCAGACUAUUGCCAUUGGAGAUGUCCAAAUAUUUUCAUGAAUAGCAGAGGUCUACCACUGUGCUCUACCUGCUCGUAUCCAGCUCUCUGGCUUCUUGGUGUUUCAGCACAGACCACACAUAAUACGUUCACUGGGCUGUCAGUACAGUGAGGAACACUUAAGCUUUGGAAGCCUUUCUCCUGAAAAAGGAGAAAGUCAUUUUCCUGUGCAUGCUAGAGAGACGCAUAGACUUAACCACAUGUGAUCUUGGGACUCUGGCUGUAUUUUAGUACCCUAGCAGAAGGGGGGGUUUCUUUAUUAACAUCAGAUACUGGUUUUUUUAAAUGAUGUUAAAUUUUAAAAACUUAAACAAGAAAGCUUGUUAAAAAUAUUUCUUUUAUUUUAAUGAUUUAUUUUUAUUUUAUUUUAUGUGCAUUGGUGUUUUGCCUACAUGUAUGUUAGUGUGUGAGUUUCUGAUCCCCUGGAACUGGAGUCACAGACAGUUAUGAGCUGCCAUGUGGGUGCUGGGAAUUGAACCGAGGUCCUUUGGGAAAGCAACUAGUGCUCUUAAUUAUGGAUCUGCCUCUCUAGCCCCCAUCUUCUGCCUUUUAAAAAAAGAUUCAUUUAUUUUAUGUAUAUGGGUAUUUUGUCUGUGUGUAUAUCUACACACCAGAGAGAACACCCUGUGGUACUACAGUUUUGGAGGUGGUGAACAGUCAUUGCCCUUAACCAAUGAGUCAUCUCUCCAGGCCACGAAAACUACUACUACUACGACUAUUAUUAUUAUUAUUAUUAUUAUUAUUAUUAUUAUUAUUAUUAUUAUUAUCUGUUAGCCAAAUCAUAUGUAUCAUGUAUUAGAUAUGUAAUAAUGAUGCCUUUCUGAAAGUAAAAAUCUCAGCCAGUGAGGAGCUUGGUGAGUGGCAGAAUGUAACAAACAGCUCCUAUAAUGUGUUCAAUGUAGCAACAAAAAGAAAACAACCUUGGACACUUU
rnacentral:lncRNA from 1 species